rnacentral:rRNA from 1 species
GAGGCGGGCGCGCAGUUUUGGAAUCGGCGGUCGGGACGAGCAGGGGAGGAGGGGUGAGGGAGGUAGGAGAGGGUACAGCGGCGGGGAGAAGAGGAGCGAGCGGAGCCGGCGGAGGAGAGGAGGCGGCACAGCAGCUGGGGGAGGGAGGAGGAUGGAGGAGGAGGGAGGAGAGUCAGGGCACGGUCAGCGGCGGGUUUGGGAUCGGAGGCAAAGGGAGCUAGGGGCGUCAUUGGCGUAGGUGUCGGUGGGCGAGGAAGAGUAUCGGCGGCGUGGUAAGGAGGGAAGGCGGGGGAGGAGGAAGGGCCUAGGGGUGGUGCCGCGGCUGGACGUCCGUUUCCCGCUGCUUCUCACCAUCUGCUCCUGUUGCUCCCUCUCUUUCUUCCCUCUAUUUUUCCUCCGGCCGCCGCUCCGGGUCGCUGAUCGCGGAGAGGCGGAGUUCGGGGCCGUAGUGGCGGUGGUCUAGGUGGAGCGUUGGAGAGAAGGAGGGGACAGACUGACGACGCACCAGCGCAAUCCGGGUACGGCCGCGGCGGCGGUGUCGGCGUCGGCGGCGGCGACCUACCGAGGCAGCCAGGGAGGGCGAGGUCUAGCUUUUGAUCCUCUCGCUGCCCUCCCUUCUUCCCCUGGCCCCCUCCCCUCUCGUGUCCUCUCUUCCGCUCGAGCGCCGACUGGCGUCGCACGCUCCGCCUGCCCACUCUUUGUAAACAGCAGCACGGCGACCGCCGACCUCGAAACCUUACGCCGGCACCGGUGAUAAUUAUUAAACAGAAACGUAAAAGACUACUCAAGCAGCUCAAGGAAAGAGAUAUACGAAUCUACGAAUAGACAGCCUUUAAAACACACUGUUGUCUUCAUUGCCACGAACCAGAUGAUAAGAAAAAACGACAGAUUUCACAAGGAAGUUGAUUAGGUCAUUGGACUGUAAUGAAACACAAAUUGAUUAUAGUAAGAAUAGUGUCACUCAUGUCUAUAAUAAGUCAAUCGGAGGAAAAGCACCUUCUCCUCACUUUCACAUUUCCACGUACGAACCUUCAAAUUUAUACAUUAGUUCAAUACUUUAUCUCACGACAUUCUCUGUGAAGAUAUUCGUCUCUAACCAUACUACGAAGCUCCGUACCCCAAACUGUUAUGUUGGAAGGAGAUGCAACGGAGGCCAUUUUAUAUGUUACGACGUUUUAUGUACCCAGGGGAAGCGGUCUACAAGGGAGAAAAUGUUUGGUUCCUGUGAGAACGUAACAGAUUUCUCGAACGACUCAAACUCCCCAUGAGAAGAGCCAAUCGUCGUAAUCUAAUGUGGCAGACACAAGUCUCGCUUCACAAACACUGCUGAGUUCCCCCUUGAAGGGAGUGAAAAACUACCCUGUGUCCGCAAUGGACAAUCCUCCCUUACGUUUCUGUUAUUUUGGGCUGUUUGCCUUCGACCAGAAUAGAAAACUACUGGGUUUAUAGUCUACCUCAGCUAAGUUCGUGGUGUACGACCUUUAUGACGUGGUAUCACUGUAUUCCCCGUAGCGUAAGUCCUUUGGAUUACUAAGGUAUAUGUGGAAGGGUUACGGACUAACGUACACGGUUGUUCUACCUUAUACUAGAUCCGCAAUCGUACGUAUUGACUCCCUACGUAUAGGAGACGGAAACACGUGGUUUCCGUGGUUUCCGUACCGUAACAACUGACGUACUAGUCCUAAACUACCAGUACUACUUUUGACCUCACUUUAUUUCGUAAACCACGAAGAGUCCUCUAAGACUUUGGGAGACCGUAUGGGGGUUGGCAAGCUAAGACCUAUAUUACCAGUUUUCCACGGUUUACUGUUACUUAAGGUAUCAUAGUCUUUAACUCUCCUACACUCCCUAAAACAUUUCAAUCAUUAGACAUCCAUCAGGUGGUAUAUCGUUAGAGGUAAACAAGUUAGGCAGACAUCCAACAUUUCUCUUUUCUCGAUGCUCUAACCCAACAUCUAUACUCAUGUUGGACUCACGGAGCUACAUAUAAGCUUUUUGUUCCCGAUUGUUGUUGUUUCUUGCCUUUAAAAGUCAUAUAGUAAUGAGUAGUCACGAACAAGAGCGUAAAGUAGAACGGGAACUGUUAAGUAUAAAUACUCGUACAAGAAUGUCAAGUCUGGAUUGCAAGAAAAAAGAAAGGAACCCGUGAAGGAGUUCUUAGAACAACUCCACAGACAAAGGGGAGAAACACAGGGAAGAUCUACAUAAUUAGAGUUAGAGUACAAACCAAAAGA